rnacentral:rRNA from 1 species
GACGAACCGUGCGAACGUUGUUCGGAUUCACUGGGCUUAAAGGGCGCGUAGGCGGCUUGCCAAGUCAGGGGUGAAAUCUUUCGGCUCAACCGGAAAACGGCCCCUGAUACUGGCGGGCUGGAGGAGGGUAGGGGCAGAUGGAACUUCCGGUGGAGCGGUGAAAUGCGUAGAUAUCGGAAGGAACGCCGGUGGCGAAAGCGAUCUGCUGGACCCUUUCUGACGCUGAGGCGCGAAAGCGUGGGGAGCAAAACGG